UGAGGAUGUUAGCUCUCAGAUACUGCUCCAGUGGCCAUGUCUACUGCCGUUCUCACCACCAUGAUCUUCAAGAAUUCAGCCUCUGAAGCUAUGCCAGACUGUAGAAGAGCACAGAAAUCACAAGUGAGGAAAAAAUACAGGAGUGAUAACCUGACCAAAUAGAGGAGAACAAACCUGCCAUAGUAGGCUCUGUGAAUGCCUAAGCUCUUCCUGUGAUCAAAGACCGCACGUACCUGUACAUGCUGAAGACAGUAUUGCCAUUGUGCAUAAGGUACACGUACACUUCCUCCACGUCCUCGUGCUUCAUCAUGCUGAAGGUGAAGAAAUACACACCUGUAAGGACAAGGAUUUACUCAUUUACUCAUCCGUAGAAGAUGAGUCAAGCGAUUGCACACAUGAUUUUGUUGUAUUUGUGUAUUGUGUAGUUUCAUGGUCUGUUCAUA